UGCUGUGGACAUGGCAAAAGAU
rnacentral:sRNA from 1 species